rnacentral:lncRNA from 1 species
AGUUAAGGCAGUCAACAAGAAAUCAAAAAAUGCAGGAUUUCUUCCAAGUUCGUUCCUGAGAUAAAUACAAGAUCAGCUUCACGUUUUUAGCAGCCAACUUCAGCUUCUGCUCAACAAUUUGUUGGUUAUAUGUUUGUUGUUUGCAUUUUGUGUAUACCAUGAUAGUGAAUGCAUGUAUAAAUAAUUUAAUGGUUUAACCCAAAAAAUUAAAGGGACACAAAAGAGAUCCUAGAUGAUGAAAGCCUAACAUCUCUCUUCAGAAAUAUAUUGGGUUCAAACAAGUUAGAUUCGGAUCACAAGCAAGAAAAAUUUCUGUAAUAAUAGGAAAAAGAAGAACGAAAUAGUAGAGUUAGACUAUUACCGGCAAGACAGCGAGAUGGCGAGAUCAAAGGCAAAGAGGGACGGAGAAACCAGAGAGCAGAGAGAGAAUGAGACUGUGAGAGCCGAGAACAGUGCAGCUGUAAUAGGCAAAAAUCUACGGAGACCAGAGAAACAGAGAAGGAAGUAGUAGGUCUAGAUGUGUAGUUCAAAAGAAAGGGGUC